rnacentral:rRNA from 1 species
GAGGAGCUUGCUUCUCUGACGUUAGCGGCGGACGGGUGAGUAACACGUGGAUAACCUACCUAUAAGACUGGGAUAACUUCGGGAAACCGGAGCUAAUACCGGAUAAUAUAUUGAACCGCAUGGUUCAAUAGUGAAAGACGGUUUUGCUGUCACUUAUAGAUGGAUCCGCGCCGCAUUAGCUAGUUGGUAAGGUAACGGCUUACCAAGGCAACGAUGCGUAGCCGACCUGAGAGGGUGAUCGGCCACACUGGAACUGAGACACGGUCCAGACUCCUACGGGAGGCAGCAGUAGGGAAUCUUCCGCAAUGGGCGAAAGCCUGACGGAGCAACGCCGCGUGAGUGAUGAAGGUCUUCGGAUCGUAAAACUCUGUUAUUAGGGAAGAA